CUUAUUUAUUGUUUUUUGUUUUGUUUUGUUUCUUAGCAGUGUGAACAGCUUUAAAAUUAGCCUCACUUUAUCUUUUCCAGUUGAAUGUAAGUUGGAAUGUAAGGAAUACUUCAUGACACAAGAUCAGCUUCCUUCUUUCAGUCGGGUGGUGGAGACAAGGAACGAUGCAAACUCAUAGCUGCAGAGCUUUGUGCUGCCAGAAUGCUCUGCUGCUGGGAGACUAUCGUGCGAUAGAGUGGAGCAACUAUUAACUCUAAUUGGAUGAACAUUGCUACAAAAUUGGAAGCUAUCUCUGGCCUGUAUCUCCAGCUUGUUCUGUUAUGACCUGCAUUGCUCACGGCACAUUUGACACGUUUGCAUAUGCUUUGUGCUGCACGCAGAAACUGUGAGUAAGUGGUGGUCUCUGUAAGCACAGCUCUGCCAUGUGCCCUCUUGAAGAGAGCUGAACUGGAGGAACCUGGAGGACAAGAGGGUGAGAGGUGAGAAGAGCAAGG
ensembl:lncRNA